UCCCAAUGGGUAUUUAAGAUAUUGUUUACCUGUGGAGGGAAGUUUUAUGUAUUAAUUUAAAAAGAUUUGUUUUUAUUUUACGUGUGUGAGUGCUUUGCCUGCACACAUAUAAAAGUAAGUUACUCUGUGUGUGCCUGAUGUCUUUGGAGGCCAGAUGAGGACACUGGAGUCCCUGCAACUGGAGUAAGAUACUUUGUAGGUGCAGGGAACAGAACCCAGGUCCCAUGCAAGGGGCCAUCCUCCACAGACACUCUUUUAUAGGUGGGGGUUGCUGAAGAUUAGCAUCAGUGAGAAAAGAAAGGAGGAACUGGACAUGGGGCAGGUGCCAAAACUGGGGAACAGAAAGAUGCUUUUAGAAUUUGGUGUGAGAACAGCAGUUUCCAAAAUGUGGAUUCCCAGUCAAGGCCCUAACCAAGAAAACCAGAAGCACUUCCUUCUGUAGAGAUAGCAGAAAUAAAGACUCAGAACGAAGGACGCUUUUACUCCAUUUGGUUGCAUACCUAAAAGUGUUCUGAAAAGUAAAGUCUAGUGGCAGGGCACACCAUCAUCUCAGCACUUGGGAAUUCAAGGUCAUCCUCAGUGCGAAUUUGCAGCUAACCUAAAAUUCAUGAGACCCCAUCUCAAAACCACUAAAACAAGCAAUGCCCCACCACAAAAAGAAAUACAAACAAACAAAUCAAAGAUUUAUGCUGGGUGGCAGAAGAACAUGCCUUUAAUCCCAUCACUCAAGCCAGGGCUACACAGAGAAACCCUGUCUUGAAAAAACCAAAACCAACCAACCAAACAAAUAAAAUUAAAAGGAUUUAUUUGUUUGUACAUAUGGGUGUUGUUUGUGUGUAUGUCUGCACACCAGAAGAGGGCGUCGGAUCCAGGGAACUACAGACGUAGACAGUUGUGAGCCACCACGUAGGUGCUGGUAUCAAAAGUCUCUGCGAGGGGGGCAAUUGCUCCUAAUGGCUGAGCCAUCUUUCCAACCCAAACAGAGACUAUUUUAAAACUACUACGACCAUCUGGCCAUGGUGGUGCAUGCUUUUAACCCCAGCACUCAGGAAGCUGGCAGAAGCAGUAGGUCUUUGAGUUUGAGGCCAACCUGGUUUACAUAGUGAGUUCCAGGCCAGCCAAAGAUACUUAGUGAAACCCUGUCUCAAAAAACAACCAUUCUCCUUUUUUCUCUCUUCUCUCUCUCUUCCCUAUUCUUGUCUCCGUCAUCCUCAAUAAACCUCUUCCACGUGGAAAAAACAAAACAAAACAAAACAACCAAUCAACCAGCCAACCAGCCAACCAGCCAGCCAGCCAGCAAGCCAGCCAAGCACGCACGCACGCACGCACGCACGCACGCACGCACGCACGCACGCAUGUAACUAGCCAACCAGCAACCAGUCAGUCAGCAAAAACAAGACUAAGGGGUAGAGCACAUCUCUAAUGCCAACAAUCAGGAACCGGAGGCUAGUGGAUCUCUGUGGGUUCCAGGCCAGAUUGCCAGGAACACAUAGUGAAACACUAUCUUGAAAACAAACAAACAACCCUCAAACAGCAACCAUGCAUAAGUCUGAAAAACUCUGAACUUUCCAGGGUAACGAUUUUAGUAUUUUAAAAAAGAACAUCAAAUCUAAAACAUUUCCCUACAUCUUUUUGUUUCCUCGAUGGGCUGACCCACUGAACUCAGGCUUUAAUCAGCUGCAGGAUAUUUCACCUGCCUGUUUUCCGUAGCUAAUGCAGCACUUCUAAAGGAGAAGCCCUUGGACUGGGGGCAGACAGUGGGAUUCAAUCAAGAUCAACGAGAAGCCGGGCAGUAAGUCGCCUCCAAGAUGGCCUUCAAAAUGGUUCCUGCUUCCGGAGCAGAAGCGCGUGUGCACCACAUUGUUUGGAAUGUGCGGCCAGAAGCACAGGGGACUGUCACUUCUGGGACAAGAUCCUUAUUAAACGAGGAACCAAGGCUUGUGACCUCUAGGGACAGAUACAGUUUCUGCAAAGGGCCGAUUAAAGAAUUGUUUGGCAUUCUGACUCUGUUUCCUCAUUUGCGACUGAGGGUAAGUCUUCUAGCUGGCUUCUGUAAGACUGUAGUUCUCCAUCUGUGAAGUGAAGUAGUACUAGUCCCCGUGUCAUAAAAAUAUUGGGAAGACUCAAGGGAAAAUGUAAGCUGGCCGACGUGUAACAAACACCAUGAACUAUUUGCUUCAGGAAGUAAAGCUUGCAGAAAAUUAAUUGAAAGGAGAAUGUAAUUUUUACCUUUUGAAACUUAAAAAAAAUGAUUCAUUUAUCUUUAUCAUACGAGCAUCGCUGUUUUGCCUGCAUGCAUAUCAGUGUGAGGGAACUGGAGUUACAGACAGUUGUGAACUGCCACAUGAGUGCUGGGACUUGAACCCAGAUCCUCUGGAAGAGUAGCUGGUGCCCUUAACCAUUGAGCCAUCCCUCCAGUACCAGAUUGUGAUUUUAAAUGCUUAAUGGGGCUUGUGAGAGUGCUCAGCUGUUCAGAGCAUGCACUGCUUUAACAGGGGGCCUAAGUUCUGGUUUCCAGAACUUAAACUGGUGACUCAUAACUUCCAGUUGCUACUUCUAGCACCAGGGGAUCUGAUGCCCUCCUCUGGCCUCUAAGGGCAGGUGUAUGAACGUGGGUACUCAUACAUACACACAUAUAAAUUUAAGAAUAUUUUAAAAUUAUGCUUCAGCUUUCAGACAGCCAUUAGUCAGAUGGAUUAGUUUCUUCAAAAGCAUAAACUAUUUUUUGCAGAGCGAUUUGGCAGUUUAUCUGAAUGAUAAUUUAUAGCUUGCAAAUAUGAUUCCCUAGUCAUCUUACUUCCAAAGAUUUAUCCUAAGAAAAUAAAAAGAAACCAAAACAAACAAAUAAAACCAUGCAUAGUGGCACAUGUUGUGAUUCCAGUGCUAAGAAGAAUGAGGCAGGUGGAUGGCAAAUUUGUGAGGUCAGCCUGGGAAGAGAGACAGAGAGAGAGAGAGAGGUAGAGAGAGAGAGAGAGAGAGAGAGAGGAAGCGGGAGAGAGAAAGAACACUAAAGACAAGGUCUGGUGUAUGUGGUCUUUAUUGGUGCCUUUUUAGAAUAGAAAAGCAAUUUGAGGGGCUAGGGAUUUAGCUCAGUGGUAGAGCGCUUACCUAGGAAGCACAAGGCCCUGGGUUCGGUCCCCAGCUCCGAAAAAAAAGAACCAAAAAAAAAAAAAAAAAAAAAAAAAGAAAAGAAAAGAAAAGCAAUUUGCAUAUUCCCAAAUAUGGGUAGAUUAAAUAAGCUAUCAUAAAUUUACAUUUUAAAGCCUGAUACUCGUAUAAAACCGUUGGAAGAAAUAUGUAAAUCACCCCAGCUGUGGUUUUCACUGGACUGUGGGAUUAUAGGAAGUUCCUAUUAUAGUAUUUAUGCUUUUCUCUAUUUUCCAAAGUUUUCAUGAUAAAUAUGUUACAUUCACAAUCUGAAUUACUAACACCAGAGAGAAAACUGUUUCCAGUAAGCUGUUAAAGAGGAUCUCACAGAGAUAACACUAGUGUAGUGGAAUGAUAUCCCUUCUAAUCUUCUUAGUCCUUUAAAAUUUUAUUAACAUAUUCUAAUUAUACCUGACAAUGGAUUUUAUUAUGACAUUUUCAUACAUGACUUUAGUACAUUUUUUAUUUUAUUUUAUUUUAUUUUUUUACUUAUUCACUUUACAUUCUGCUUACUACCCUCCUCCUGGCCACUCCCACAGUCCUUCCUCUGUCCCUUCUCCCCUUCUCCUUUGAGCAGGUAUCCCCCCCCCACCCUCUGUAUUCUCCCGUGUUGGUACUUCAAGUCUCUCCCACUGAGGCCAGACAAGGCAGUCCAGCUAGAAGCACACAUCCCACGUACAGGCAACAGCUUUUGGGAUAGCACCAUUUCAGCUGUUUGGGAUUCACGUGAAGGCUAAGCUGCACAUCUGUUACAUUUAAGCUGGGAGGCCUAGGCCCAGCCUGUGUUUGCUCUUUGGUUGGUGGUUUAGAUUCUGAGAGCCCCAAGGGUCCAGGUUAGUUGACUCUGUAGGUCUUCCUGUGGAGUUCCUAUCCCCUUCAGGGUCUCAACCUUACCCCAACUCUUCCCCGAGAGUCCCCAUGCUCCACCCACUGUUUGGUUGUGGGUGUCUGCAUCUGUCUGAUACAGUACAUUUUAAACAUAUUUUCCCCAUAUCACCCUUUCUAGUCUCCUUCUCACUCCCACUAACUCCCUUCCCGUCUCCAGCUCAUCCUUCUAUUUUUAUGUCUUUUAUUCUUGUUUGGAGAACCAAUGUGUUUGAUUAGUGUAUCUCAUGGGAUCAUAGGCAGUUCACCAGUUCCUGAACACAGCAUGGUUUCCUUCCUUAACUACCAUAGAUCCACAGGAAGGGGUGAAGCCUUGUGAGACCCUCACUGCUCAGUGAUGAAAAGUUGGUGAUCCCAGUCUUACACGGGUUGUCACAGUUGCUUAGAGUCCAAGAGCACAAAGGCCACACCAUCCCUGAAAGAGGGAGGGAGACAAUAUUCUGUAAUAUUCUGCCCCUUACAUCUGUCUCUCCACUCCCCUUUCCUCGAUAUUUAAAAUGCCGUGGAGGGGGUGAAAUAAACGUCCCAUGUAAGGCUGAACAUCCAGUGUUACUUAGCUCAUUGACCUGUUACUCUCUGCAGUAACCCUGCUGGCUGGAAAGGAGGCUGCACUAAAGCCAGCAGCGGCGCAAACCAUGGGAAUAAGAACACAUAUUUAGAAGACAGUUUGGGGGCUGGAGAGAUGGCUCAGUGGUUAAGGGCACUGACUGCUCUUACAGAGGUCCUGAGUUCAAUUCCCAGCAACCACAUGGUGGCUCACAGCCAUCUGUCAUGGGAUCUGAUGCCCUCUUCUGGUGUAUCUGAAGACAGCUACAGUGUACUCAUAUAUGUUAAAUAAAUAAUAUUUAAAAAAAGAAGACAGUUUGACCCUCAGUGAAUACAAGAACUGAUUUUAUUUUACUUGUUUACUUUUUGAGACAGGGUCUCACUCUGUAGCCCUAGUUGGCCUAGAGUUCACUAUGUAGACCAGGCUGGCCUAGAAUUCACAGAAAUCCUUUUGCCUUUGCCUCCUGAAUGCUGGACUCCCCCCUCCCUGACCAAGACAGGAUCUCACUAUGAACCCCUGGCUGACCUGGCACCACCACACCUGACGAUUUCAGGUUUUUUUUUUUUUUGAGGUAAGGUCUUGCUAAGUGGUAGUGGUGCAUCCCAGCACUUGAGAAGAAGAGGCAGGCAGAUAUCUGUGAGUUCGAGGGCAGCCUGGUCUACAGAGCUAGUUCCAGGACAACCAGGGCUACACAAAGAGACCUUGUCUCAAAAAAAUCAGACACACACACACACACACACAAUACACACAACACACACACACACACACACACACAGAGACAGAGAGACAGAGAGACAGAGAGGCGGGGGAGAAAUGAUGGUGACUUUGAGCCCAUGAUCCUCCUGCCUCUACUUCAAGUGUACAGAUAUGAGCCGUCUUUCCUUGGAUUCAGAGCUGGUUAGUAAGAGAAGUCUCACCAAUCAAUAGAGGUCUUUCAUCAUCCUAGAACACAUCCCUAGUUGUUCAUAUAAGCCAGGGUCUUGUUUCUAGAGAUGGCUAACUUGGAUCUCAUUCACUAGCCUGCUACAUGGUUCCUUUUUCAGACACAGGGAUGCCAAAAUGUUCCAAUGUCCUUGUUUUAACCAUUGUGGCUUGUUGGAUCAAAGCCUUUGAAUUCGAAACAAGUUAAGUAUCAAUUUUUAAGGAUUAAAUCUUUUGUGAGAGAUAGAACAAGAAACACUUGUCUUCAUCUGAAUCCCAUGGAUGUAUUUUUCACCCCCCAAAUUUCGGAUUUCAAUUCAGAGACCCAUCUUUCUGAAUAACUGACAACGUUGAUGGGACUGGGAGCAUAUGUGGAGCUCACCUUGCACCCCUGAUCAUGCCCUGUACUUGAGCACAGAUAGCGCUCUCUCUCUCUCUCUCUCUCUCUCUCUCUCUCUCUCUCUCUCUCUCACACACACACACACACACACACACACAGCAGCCAGUUCCUUUCUGUUUUUCCAUCCUAUGUCAACUUGGAUCCAUGUUCCUCUUUCCCCCUCAGGGAGACUCAGCUUUCCAUCCAUGGGAUGAAGGCUCCUCUGAGCCCCUUUAUAAUAAUGGGGGUCCUUUCAGAGUGGUGCUGACAUUUUUCUGGAGAGCCAACAGUCUGAUUGCUCAGAAUGGUCUUCAUCCCCAAGGUAGAUGCAGCAAAGUGCUUUUUAAUUUACAUUAGUGCUUCAGCUUAGUGUGUGUGUGUGUGUGUGUGUGUAAGAGAUAAGAGACACAGACACAGACGCAGACGCAGACACAGACACAGACACAGACACAGACACAGACACAGAGAGAGAUGCAGAGGGCUAAAGGCCAGAGAGGGCUUAGAGUUAGAGGAGGUUGUGAGCCACCUGGCUAGGAACUGACCUCGGGUCCUCUGGAAGAGCAGCAAGUGCUUGAAGCACUAAUGUCUCCAGCAAACUUUUAUUUUAUUUUUCCUAAAGACGGGGUUUGGCAAGGCCAGCUUAAUGUAUGAAACAAGUUCCAGGACAGCCAAAGCUACACAGAGAAAUUCUGUCUCAAAAAACAAAAACCAAACCAAGACAAAACAAAAUAGACAGGGUCUUACUAUUGUAGUUGUGCCUGGCCUGGAACUCUCGAUGUAGACCAGCUUGGUCUCAAACUCACAGUGAUCUGUCUCCUUUACCUUUGAGUGCAGGGAUUAAAGGUAUGAGCCAAGAAGCCCAGAGAGGGGGAAAAAGUUUUUUAAAAAUUAAUUUUACGGGGUUGGGGAUUUGGCUCAGUGGCAGAGCGCUUGCCUAGGAAGCGCAAGGCCCUGGGUUCGGUCCCCAGCUCCGAAAAAAAGAACCAAAAAAAAAAUUAAUUUUACAAUUAAUUUGGAGAUCUUCACCACAGUGAAGCCUGAGGACCAAGGGACCUUAAACAUUGAAAACAAAAAGUUAUAAAUUUGUGAAGUAAUGACAGGACACGCAGAUAUUUAGCUUGAGCAGUAGAUUCCGUGGGAAUUUCCAGUAAGUAAGGGAUAAGAGGGUGUUAAAGCUGGUGGGAAAAUAUGAGUAAUUUCAAAGCAAUUUGCUUAUUCAGUCUCACUGAGGCCCCAGUUGCUGGUCUCUGAUGACCAAAGGCAUUCUCCAUCUUGGAAUGAUAGGGACUUUCCUCUCAAAAGAGUCUUUAUGGCUUGCCCCAUGUAGGGAAAGACAGGCAAACGGCCCUGCAUCUGUAGUUUCUAAUUGGUUUCAGCUGGAAACAGUCAAGAUGCCCUUUUGGCACUUUUGGAGAUGCCACAUCUUUAUCUCCAUGUCCUGGCUAGUUUUACAUCAACUUGAUGCAAGCUAGAGUCAUCUGAAAGGAGGGAAUCUAAAUCGGGAAAAAGCCUCCAUAAGACCUGGCUGUAGGGCAUUUUCUUAAUUAGUGUCGAUGGGGGAGAGUCCAGCCCGUUGUGGGUGGUGCCAUGCCUAGACUGAGUUCUGUAAGAAAGCAGGCUGAGCAAGCGACGAGGAGCAAGCCAGUACGCAGCGCCCCUCCAUGGCCUCUGCGUCAGCUCCUGCCUCCAGGUUCCUGCCCUGUUUGGGUUCCUGUCCCGACUUUCUUAGUGAUGUGGGGGUAUAAACUGAACAAACCCUUUCCUCUCCAAACAACUUUUGGUCACAGUGUUUCAUUACAGCAAUGAGAAUCGCGGCUCCCUCAGGGGAAGGAAACCCUCUGGAGUUGAUCCCUUACCAACCUACUGACGUUCCUCCAGAUGGAUCUUCUCCAGUAACGGCUUCUUAGUUGUUCUUUGCCUGCCUUGUGUCCUGUACCAUCCCGCGGACUUCACUCCAGGUUGAAGCUCUGUGUUGGAGUAGAUCUGUUGCAAUCCAAUCCUCAAACCCACAGACCUGAUCCUGUUUCAGUCCCCACCAGUUCCCCUGGUACCCGGGAUGCAGACGUAGCUCGCCACUCUGCCCCUCACACCGGUAACUCAGCACACGUCUACAGCGGAGCCUGGUAAGCCUCAUGCUUUAAAGUCAGACAUUCUUUACCCGAGGAAACUUUUCCUCAUCUCUAACCUCUGCAAGCGUCUUUUCCCCCUAAGCAUUUUUGUUAAUGAUUUGAAAAUUUCAUGUAAUGUAUUGUGAUCAUGGUCACUGCCACUUCUUUUUCUAACUCCUCCCAGAUCCACCCCUACAUCCUCAACUUCAUUCCCGCCCCCCACCUUUAAAUAACCCACUGACUCCAAUUUGUGCCCCCUGAGUGUGGGGCCAUCCACUGGAGCCACAUGCUAAAAGACUGACUCAUUCCCACUCCAAGCCAUUGAUUGACCAUAGUUCCCCAGUCAGGGGUAGAGGCUCACGAACCCCUUCCUUAUCCAUGCUAGAGUAUUGAUUGGCUUGUUCUUAUGUGGGUCUUGCCCAGGCAAUCGAAGCCCCUGGGAGCCCACCUUACCUUUUCCUUUCUUUCUUUCUUUCUUUCUUUCUUUCUUUCUUUCUUUCUUUCUUUCUUUCUUUCUCUCUCUCUCUCUCUCUCUCUCUCUGUCUCUCUCUGUUUUACUUUAAAUUUUUUUAUUAGAUAUAUUUCUUUACUUACAUUUCAAAUGUUAUUCCCCUUCCUGGUUUCCUGUCCAUAAGCCCCCAUCCCCUCCCCUCCCACUCCCCCAUACAGGUAUUCUCCCCAUACAUCCCCUUUACUGCCCCCCCAUAUUUCCCUGCACUGGGGGUCCAACCUUGGCAGGACCAAGGGCUUCCCCUUCCUCUGGUGUCCCAACAAGGCUAUUCUCUGCUACAUAUGCAGUUGGAGCCCUGGGUCAGUUCAUGUAUAGUCUUUCGGUAGUGGUUUAGUCCCUGGAAGCUCUGGUUGGUUGGCAUUGUUGUUUUUAUAGGGUUGCAAGCUCCUUCAACUCUUUCAAUCCUUCCUCUAAUUCCCCCCAAGGGGGUCCUGUUCUCAGUUCUGUGGUUGGCUGCUAGCAUUGACCUCUGUAUUGGACAUGCUCUGGAUGUGUCUCUCAGGAGAGAUCUAUAUCCGGUCCCUUUCAGCAUGCAUUUUUUUAGCUUCAUCAAUCUUAUCUAGUUUUGGUGGCUGUAUAUAUAUAUGGGCCACAUGUGGUGUAGGCUCUGAAAGGCCAUUCCUUCAGUCACUGCUCUAAACUUUGCUUCCAUAUCCCCUCCUAUGGAUUUUUUUUCCCUUUUUUAAGAAGGAGUGGGAACAUCUGCAUUUUGGUCAUCCGUCUUCUUGAGCUUCCUGUGGUCUGUGGAUUGCAUCUUGGGUAAUUCGAGCUUUUUGAGACCACCUUUUCUUUUGCUUGCAACUAUAUAAAACUAUAGAUUUAUGUCUGCUGUCCUUAAAUGAUAUAUUUUUAUUUACAUUUCAAAUGUUAUUCCCUUUCCCCAGUUUCCCAGCCAUAAGUCCCCUAUCCCAUCCCUCUCCCCUUCUUCUAUAAGGGUGUUUCCCCUCCCCAACCAUCCCCACCUUCCUGCCCCACCCCAUGUUCCCCUACACUGGGUGGGAGGGUCCAGCUUUGGCAGGACCAAGGGCUUCUCCUCCUAUUGGUGCCCAACAAGGCCAUCCUCUGCUACAUAUGCUGUUGGAGCCAUGGGUCUGUCCAUGAUACAUCUUCUUGAAGGCUACUUUUUGUGUGUGUGUGUGGGGGGCAACCAUUUAAUCAGUGCUCACUGUGUAUCAGGCUCUGUAUGAGGCAAGAGUUUCCUUCAAAGCUCAUGCCCUUUGUCCAGCUGCUGGUUCGGGCUUGCUAGCUGAAUGACUCAAUGAGUUAUUUAGUCCAAAGUACCUCAAGCUGCACAUGCAUGUGAGUAACUCGAGGGAACUUGUUACAAGGCAGAUGUCACAGAUCCACCCUGAAGCUCUUGAAUCAGAGGCUUGUGGGUAAAGUGUGGGCACCCAUGUGUUUUAUGAGCUUCCUACUGCUUCUGAUGUGCCCCACGUUGUCACUGUUGAGAAGUUCUGCCCAUUCUUCAGAAGCUCAUCCUUGCAGCAUUCCAGGCAGACAGAAUCUCACCCUGAAUUUCAGCUCCCUUAAAAGAAGGAAACCAUGAAUUAUAACACACUAUGUCCCAGGAUUCUCUUAUUUCAAAGCCUUAGGUAUGGCUCUUAUUAAAUUCCUAUAAGAACUGUGCAAGGAAACCAUUUGUCUCCCUUUUUCAAGAGACCCUGAGGCCAGAGAUAGUUGCUUGUCCAGGAGGAAUUGCUGGUGCUGGAACCAGGAACUUCUGGCCUCUGAUACUGUCCCUCUGACACUGAGCUGCCUCCCCGCACCUGCCAUACCCAAUGUGUGUCCAGUUUCCCACUAUCCUCAGUGCCUGGCAUACGGAUGCUGGUCUUGGUGGGUUUUUGACGGUCCUAGGAAAAAUCGUAAAAGACAUGAUAAAUGCUACUCUCCUCAUUGCCUUGCCUCAGGAAAUUGAGAGCAUCAAGCACUCUCUGCUGAUGGCCAGGCAAAAGGAUGCUGAAUCAGUUGACACCACCAAGAGCAAGGGUAGUGUGAAUUUCAAAGUUCUGUGCACCUGACACCUUCGUGUUCUGGUCUCCACAGACAAGGAGAAGGUAAAGACUCUGUAGCAGUCUCUUUGGCAGGGAAUGGGCAGAUAUGAAGCAGUCCUCUUUAUUUGGACCGUAUUAAAAGUCCUGAAAAUUCAAAAGAAAAAGAUGGAGGAGAGGAGGAGGGAGGAUUCAACACAGUCUUUCAAAAUAAGCUUCAUUGUAAAGCUUAAAAAAAAAAAAGAUUGAAUUUUCAGUUGUGUAGGAUAGAGAUUGGAGGAAGCAGGGCUGAAGCCCUUCCUUAAUUGACUGCAGCCCUCUACUUCCAGGGAUUUUUGUCAGAAUUCCAGCUCUUCCUCCUUUGGAGUUUGAACCCCAUUGUAACACAGGAGCCUGACAUACUUUCAAAGCCUGUGGUCCUCCGGACGGGAGACAGGAAGUUGGGCUGGAAUAGGAAAGGGUUUGGAGAGGGCUGGGGUAAUAUAAAUAACUUUCCUGACCUUUGGACAAUGUCCUCCUCCCUUCUCUCCCACCCUCCAGCCUUGCUGUCACUGGCUUCAUUUCUGGUCUGAGAGCAAUCUCCUUAAAGGCACAGGCCAACCUUCUCUGUUCCCGUCCACUUUCUGUCCCGGAUGGACUGGGGGCUUCAUGGGAGCUCUGUUGAUUUGGUAUCUGUAUCUCAAGAUGCAGCCUGGCCUGGUGUACGUGGCCAGCGAGUGCCAUUUAGGUAGCCAACUGAAGAAGGAGCAGUUACAUCGGAAUGGGGACAGCUAGAGAAGUGGUUUGUACAGAAGAGUAUCUGUUCUUCCCUUACUCAUUCAGAGCCCCAGGGCUCAAUGACUGGAGUCUCAUGGUGUUUCCCCCCCAAGGCUGUUUCCUUCUUCAGCUCCUGAGGCUCUUCAUCCUCCUAGUUUUCCAUCCCAGAGGAAGAAACAACCCCACGGUGAGCCCCAGAUGCUCUAGGAUCCAAUGGGGUGUGUGAUAUUGGUGGGCCUGGAAAGACAGCAACACGGGACGGGGCAGGACAGUGAGGGGGUGAAGGGUGCUGCUGAGAUGGCUCAGGGGGUAGAGUCGAUUGCUGCCAAGCCUGGCCUGAGUGCAGUGCCCGGGACUCACAUGAUGGCAGCAGAGAGGAAGAGAGGAAAGAGCUGACUUCUUGAAUUUGUUCUCUAACCUCUUCAUGUGUGUUAUGGUAUACAUGUAGACACACACACACACACACACACACACACACACACACACACACACAAAUAAAUGUUUAAAAAAAACCCCCAGAUUUCAGAGAACCUAGAAUACUGGAAGUUUAGGUGCUUGCUGUCAUCUAACCCCGCUGAAAAAUCGUUCCUGGGGCAUCCCUGCUACUGAAGAUUCCCAGGAGACCCUUGGGUUGAGAGAUUUUUAGUUAUGAAAGUCCACAUGGACCUUAAGCCCAAAUGACGUCCUUGCCAAUAAACCAAAGAGAGCCAGGACCUCUGACCGCUAGAUGUGGUACACGUAUGACAAGCUUGCUGUCAAGUCACCCCUGCCAGGUUGGGAUUAUCUAGAAAAAGAAACUUAUAGAGGCUAAACAAUUUGCCAAGGGCACACAGAACAUGAGGAGCCUGAACUUAAACCAGGAUAUGCCCAGCCCCAAGAUCAGAGUCUAAUCAUAGAGCCCAGAACAUCUUUAUGAGACCCAUUUUUAAUUCCACAUGCUAUCUCGUCAAAAUUCUCACCAUCUUCUAAGCUUCUGCCGCAUCACAAAGGAGUACACCCACCCUUCGUCGCCUGUUCUGGAAGGAGGUAGCCAAAUCACAAACCCCAUGUUAUCUCUGGGGUACAUAUCGUUUAUCUGUGCCUGUCUUUUCCCCUGUGAGUGCACUUGUGUCUGAGCUUACCAGCCACAUCUUCAGUGUCUUUACCUGUGGUUGUCUCUGUCAAUGUUUCCCUUUGUCUGCCAUUCCCUUAGUGUCAUUGUCCCUCAGAGGUUGGCUCAGUCAGUCCUUCUUUUCUGCUCUGUCAAGACCCUCCACUGGUAAAGUCACAUCUAUACAGCUGUCAGUAUUGCUAUUACCGACGGGCUUCAUCUUAGUCAGAAGCCCAAGAAAGAAUCGACUGUGACUGGAAAGUCCGGACCUUGGUCUUUAUUUCUGGCCUGAGCUCUGGAUUGGUAUCGAGUGCAUUCCAGCUGAAUGUCACGCAUUCACCUCUCUUAAAAAAAACAAAAAAAAAAAAAAAACAAAAAAAACCAAAACUUCAUCCUGAUGGUACAGGCCUUCAAUCCCAGCACUGGGAAGUGUGUCUUUGUGAGCCAACCUAGUCUAUACAGCGAGUUUCUGGACAGCUUGGGCUACAUAAUGAGGCACUGCCUCAAAAACAACCAACCAACCUCAACAACCUUAUCAACCUACUCUCACACUUCAGCUGACUUUGUUGCACUUCUAGUAUUUCUUCUCCAGAUCUUCCGAUUAAACGGGAGUAUAACAGCGGCGAAGAUUCUGAAAGCUGGUUAGAUGUGCUCGGUGAAGUCAGGACCGAGAGAGAAGAACCAAGCAGAGACGUUAAGAACAGAAGACAAUCGGCAUCUACUGGGCCAAGCCUAAUUUCCUUCCUAGACCCUUCAAGAUCCUUCCUGACCUAACUCCUCUUAGUCCUUUUCCACUUUCUUAAUAUCGACUCUCUAGCUCGCACAAUCAGCCUCUUCCUCCCAGUGCCCAGUGCCCCGGUUUUUCUCUGAUUCAGCGUGUCACUUGUUUUGUACACAGUUGACUCCAUUGCUGACUUAUUCUUCUAGAUUUAGCCCCACCCCCUCCUACUGUGACAUGUGCAAUGAACCACUCUGAUGUCUAUUAUGUCACAUUUGACAUACCUUCACCUCAAUUAUUAUUAUCGUUUCUUUUUUCUUUCUUUCUUUUUUUUUUUUUUCGGAGCUGGGGACCGAACCCAGGGCCUUGCGCUUCCUAGGUAAGCGCUCUACUACUGAGCUAAAUCCCCAGCCCCCGUUUCUUUUUUCUUGAGGCUGUGUUGACUGUACUGGUCUUGACUUUGUAGGUUCAAGGCAGCCUCCCACAUGAGUUGCCUGAACAUCUGGGACUACAGGUUUCUGACACCACACCUAGCUUCAUAUGGCAAUUACUUCAAUUGCCACACCACCUGCCUGUUUACUUCUCUGUCUGUGAACUCCAUGAGCUCAGAGGCUGAUCUUAAUCAAUAUUUAUAACUCCAGUAUCUAAGAUGAUAGCCCGUCCAUAUAUAUACAUUUAUUGGUCAAACCAAUCGGCGAAUGGGCUCACCUUCUGUCAGAUGGGCGGGCACAAAGAAGACGACAGGGUUGUGUGAGAAGGACCAGAUGACAAGUCAUUUUGGUCACAGAAAAGAAGAAACACCAAUUUUCGUUAGGUCCUACUCUACUCGCCCUGCUACCUGGAAUAGAGAAUCAAGAAAGCCCAGAACAACCUUCCCAAACCGCCGAAGAAGAGAUUUAAAAAUUGAAUCGAAAUAUAUUAACCAUGUGAAUACAAUUAGGAUGAGUUCUUCUUUGGAGGGAAAGUGCAAUCUUUUCAGUGUCUGUGUCAGACGGGGCCCAGCAGCAUUCAACUGAGGAGACUCAAUUACCACCUGUACAGAUGUGGGCAGAUUAACCAAACCGUUACUAAUAUCUGGUUUCCUUUCCCUCUUGGAGUUAUGGAGUCCACAAUAAAAUGGAAUGCUCACUGAGCAGUGGGGAUUUUUAUUCUUGGCCAAGAAUAGAAAUGAAAGAUAACUGCAAAGUAACUUCUCUAAUGGCGUCAGGAAGGUCUAGCCAUCUGUGAAAGAAACAAGGGAGGGAUAGGCAAAUGAAGGACAGAAAGAGUCCCUAUCUUUUCUGGGAAUGAAUAGAAAUUUUCCGGGAAUUUGGAUGCCCCUAUUUUUGUUCUGUUUAUGGUUCUUCCCGGUCACCUGUCACAGUGCUGAGAAGUGUCACUUAGCACGCGAUCAUAGGACUUUAACCUGACCGGUUAGUUAGCUACCUGAAGAGGAACUUCUGGCCACUGGGCAUCCUGUCUUCAAAGAUAAGGUUAGGGCAGGGCAGAAAUUCAGUUAGUUCAAGCAGGCAGAGUAAGACGAGGAUUGGGUAACAAAAUCAGCCAUCGGUCCAGAGACACACUACCAAAGGCCCGAGGUUUUAGGGAGAGAGCCUGGAGUUUGCCAGGAGGAGCAUAGUUUCUAGAAAUGCCGGAUUCUCAGCCUGGUCAAGUAGGCUUUGUUCAUGUUUUCCUCCUGCCCUGGCAGCCUCUCAGCCGAAUUCAGCUAGCAGUGGGAGUCCUGGGAAGUCCUGGGUACUUAAGAAGGACCAGGGGUAUAUCCGGACUGGGUAUGGUGGACACACAUUCAAUUUCAACAGUUGGGAAGCAGAGGCAGCUGAUCUCUGUUGAGUUUAACGCCAGCCUAAUUUACAUAGAGUUCCACGUUACCCAGAGCCAUACAGUGAGACUCUGUCUCAAAACAAAUCAACCAACCACUCCGAAUGAGCAAGAGGACAGUCCUAGAAGCAGCACGGAAGAGAGACUCUAUGUUUUUUGUGGGCCACCUCUUUAUGUAAAUACUUUGCCUACUGGUAGUAAGAUCCUGUGAAUAACAUUUCUAGACCUUAUAUCUUUUGUAUAUUUAGGUAUUUGUAUAUGAAGCUUAUGACAGUAGGUGAAUUAAGUAGAGUUAAGGUAGGACAAUGACCUUUUUUUCUUUCCCCUUUCUUUCUUCUGUGUAACAGAACCCCGGCUGUUUUGGACUCACUUUGUAGACCAGGGUGGCCUCAGACUCACAGAGACCCACCUGCCUCUGCUCCCUGGGCACUGGGAUUAGAGGUGUGCGCCACUAUGCCCAACAACAUGUUUUUUUUUUUUUUUUUUGUUUUUGUUUUUUUUGUUUUUUGUCCGGAGCUGAGGACCGAACCCAGGGCCUUGUGCUUGCUAGGCAAGCGCUCUACCACUGAGCUAAAUCCUCAACCCCCAACAACAUGUUUUUAAAAAAGACUUCUCCAGUAAUUUUGGCUGGCCCCGGUUUUUGAGAACAACUAAUAAAGUUGUGGUUUUUGUGAGCCAACCUAGUCUAUACAGUGAGUUUCUGGACAGCUUGGGCUACAUAAUGGAGCGAUGGCUCUGUGGAUAAAAGCACAUACGGCUCCUGCAGAGGACCAGAGUUCUGUUCUCAGCAGAGCUGCCAUGACACAUCUAGGGAGUUCUGACAACUCUGACCUCAACCACACUCAUUCUCCCCGCCAGUUAGAGAAAUCUUAAAAGUUCACAUUCUCAUCUUUAUAAUAAGGCAAACUAGGGUCCAGAGAAACAAAAAUGCCUGGCUUGACUACUCCCUUAGGUGAAGGGGAGGGUUUAUAAAUGUAUGAUUUUAUAACCCGUUUAUGGGAAACUGAGGCCCUGUAGAUGGAGUAGCAAAUGCCCAAUUACACCACCGGUAAGUCCAAGGCAAGGAGGAGCCAAGUCCAUAUUGCUCUCAGUUCAAUGUCUCAGUUCAAUGUUCUUUCCGAGCAACACAUUUGGUAAUAGUGUAUAUGACAAAGCCUUGGGGACAGCCAUUCUCAUUUCUCCCUCGGAUAAUGUAGGUGAGAAGCUCCUAACUAGGAAAAAAACCCCCAACAGCAACAACAAAAAAUCCCUCAUGAAUAUGCCUAGAGAUUAGGCAUGUGACUCCCCUCCCUCAAACUUUGACCCUCACCUUUUUGGGAUGCGAUUUGGAAUUUUAGGUUGUCAAUACUGUCACUAGGAAAAGGGCUGUCCCUCUCUGAGGGGAAGUUAGGUUGGUAGUUUAGGGACCAGGAUGUCUGGGGAAGGCCUGGAGGAAAAUGAAGAGAACGACCCCAGGAAGGGCUCACUGGAGAGAGUUCAGUGUGUGUCUCUCCCUGGCCAGCACGAGGCUGGGGUCCAGCUCUUUGCCUUCCCAACAGCUGACACCACAGACCACAUUCCUGCCCUUUCGGAUGUAUUUGGAAACCUGCAUUUCCAUGAAGACUGCUAGGAUAGACUUGUACUUCCCUUUCUUGUACCUUUCCCUUUCUUUAUCCUACACUACUUGUCUGGAUUGAGCAGAGAGCCUUAGAGGUCACCCAUGCAUUUUACAGUUGAGGAAAUCUAGGUGAGAGAGGCAGAGGCCAUGGAAGCAGCAAACACAGCUGCAUUGCAGUCCAUUUGACUCCUUGCCAGUCCAUCCACUUCUGAACACACACUUCUAGACAUGCUCCAACCUAUAAGUAUUAUAACUAUUACACUGCAUUUCUGGCCGUCAGUUUACAUUCCUUUGAGUCCUCUGGUCACUGUUGUUGCAGCUGUGAGGGGUGUGUGAUCAAGGCAACAUAGUGCCUGUAAUUUAUUUACUCGUUGCUGUUAUGGGGUCCACAUAUAGGCUGCUGCUUGUUUUCUUCCUUGGCUUUUGUGGUAUGGUGAGGGAUGACGGUCAACCCACAGCUCCCUUUCUGUAGCUUUAUUUGUUCAGUGCACAAGUGUCCACGCUUGCUUAGUGCUACUACGAGUCUAUAUAGUACAUCGUGUGCCUGGAUACUUAUCUCUUACCAGGCUGAAGGUUGAGAGUCUGUUCACCCUCUCGUGUCCAUUGGGAGGUGUGACUACACUGUCAAAGCCUUAUCGUAAAGGAAUUGCAUCCGCCUAGAUAGUACGUUCAAAGGUUGACGAGAAUCUGCCUUUCUUUUUAUCAGGACAAGAUGCAUCUCCUGUACUCCCAGGGCAGCGUUGUGGUCGUCUCUUAGUCAAGUUAACUCCUCAACCUUUGGGGUCGCAGUCACGUUCCGGGAUGCCCUGGCACGCCUCCCUAAGAGGCGUGGCCUUUCAGCCACGCCCACGCUCAGAGGGUGGGAGGGCCUCCUUUU